GUGGGAACAUGCCCUUCGGUUCGGAAUAACUCAGGGAAACUUGAGCUAAUACCGGAUACGUCCGCGAGGAGAAAGAUUCAUCGCCGGAGGAUUGGCCCGCGUCCGAUUAGCUAGUUGGUGAGGUAACGGCUCACCAAGGCGACGAUCGGUAGCUGGUCUGAGAGGAUGAUCAGCCACACUGGGACUGAGACACGGCCCAGACUCCUACGGGAGGCAGCAGUGGGGAAUAUUGGACAAUGGGCGCAAGCCUGAUCCAGCCAUGCCGCGUGAGUGAUGAAGGCCCUAGGGUUGUAAAGCUCUUUCGCCAGGGACGAUAAUGACGGUACCUGGAGAAGAAGCCCCGGCUAACUUCGUGCCAGCAGCCGCGGUAAUACGAAGGGGGCUAGCGUUGUUCGGAAUCACUGGGCGUAAAGCGCACGUAGGCGGAUCUUUAAGUCAGGGGUGAAAUCCCGAGGCUCAACCUCGGAACUGCCUUUGAUACUGGGGAUCUCGAGUCCGGGAGAGGUGAGUGGAACU
rnacentral:rRNA from 1 species